UACGUAGGGUGCAAGCGUUGUCCGGAAUUAUUGGGCGUAAAGAGCUUGUAGGCGGUUUGUCGCGUCUGCCGUGAAAAUCCGGGGCUCAACCCCGGACUUGCGGUGGGUACGGGCAGACUAGAGUGUGGUAGGGGAGACUGGAAUUCCUGGUGUAGCGGUGAAAUGCGCAGAUAUCAGGAGGAACACCAAUGGCGAAGGCAGAUCUCUGGGCCGUAACUGACGCUGAGGAGCGAAAGCAUGGGGAGCGAACAGG
rnacentral:rRNA from 1 species